GUCUCGGUGGCGUAGUGGUUAGCGCACGAGCCCGGUUAGGAGUGUGACGCGGGUUCGAAUCCCGCCUGAGAUG
rfam:Nippostrongylus brasiliensis genome assembly, scaffold: NBR_scaffold0000065